CAACCAACAACCUCAAGCACCAACAACCUCAGUGCUGCUAAAUCCCAGAACACUCCGUCCCCUCCAAACUGAUGACUCAGCAAGGUCUGGCUCAGCUGAGCACUGCCCCUCUCGGCUCCCAGGUCCUCACCCUCUGGGCUCUCCUCCUCUUCCUCCUCCACAGCCCUCCUUCCUAGUCUGUACCGACUCCUCUCCCUCUACUUGAACCUUCAAUGUUGACAUUCCAGAGCACUCAGACUACUGGGACACAGAUCUAGGACUCUCUGGGGUUAGAAUUGAUGGUACACUUUUUUCUUCCUGGAAUAAUGAGGCUUACUAACAUCUCAUGUCAAUCAGCCCUUUUCUGAGAAACUAUCUUUUAUUUUUUUACUUACAUAAAUCCACAGUUCCCAAUACACACAACUAAAUCGGGUCAAUAGUAUGCUAAGAAUCAGGAGAGGAAUAUGGAAAAUUGCACACACAGAAGGGAUCCAUUCCCUCCCAUUCCAAGCAGAAACUGUUCUUGAUCUUGAAGAACUAAGAGGCCUUCUUGAAUGUCUACACUGGUGCACACGGAUGAAGACAUGGAAGGGUAUCUCUGUAGGCAGGAUCUACAUCUGGCAACUCAAGCCCACCAAGGCGGUCAAACCUAAGGAGCAAGCGUCCUUGGAAAAGUUCUUUGACACAAGGAGGCAGCCAAGAUGCCAAACCUUUGCCUCCUUCCUUCCGUCAUUGGAGGGAAGGGGUAGCUGUUUGGGAGAAAAGAGUUUUGUUUGAAGACUGACAUCCAGAGCACAGGUUCUUGAUAAGGAUCCAUAUGCAGAAUCAGGGGGUCAGCGAAACUUGGAUGAGGGGAAAUCAUCUUUAUUUUCAAUAAACUCUAACUGAAAUCUAGCAUUUUCUUCAUCUAUGAAUGUAGACAAUAAAACAUCUAUAACUCUAUAACCAAUAGCAAUUAACAUUAGUUAU